GAUGAACGCUGGCGGCGUGCUUAACACAUGCAAGUCGAACGGAAAGGCCCAAGCUUGCUUGGGUACUCGAGUGGCGAACGGGUGAGUAACACGUGGGUGAUCUGCCCUGCACUUCGGGAUAAGCAUGGGAAACUGGGUCUAAUACCGGAUAGGACGAUGGUUUGGAUGCCAUUGUGGAAAGUUUUUUCGGUGUGGGAUGAGCUCGCGGCGUAUCAGCUUGUUGGUGGGGUAAUGGCCUACCAAGGCGUCGUCGGGAAGCCGGCCUGAGAGGGUGUACAGCCAAAUUGAGACUGGGAUACAGCCCAGAAUCCGAAGGGAGGCAGCAGUGAGGAAUAUUGCACAAUAGGCGAAAACCUGAUGCAGCGUCGCCACGUGGAGGAUGACGGCCUUCAAGUUGUAACGUCCUUUAGCUAGGGUCAAAUCGUUUUUGUGACGGUACCUGGGGAAGAGGCACCGGCUAACUACGUG
rnacentral:rRNA from 1 species